ensembl:lncRNA
GCUCCACCCACCCCUCCAUCUCCAUCAGAGGCCUCGUGAAUCCUGGGGAAGCCAUGAGCUGCCACAUCACGCCUGGAAGGAAGCAGGCUGCGUUGGAGGCCCGCCUCCCUCACCAAGACGAUGGCGACAUGAGGCUCUGGAAGAAGGAUGGCUUCCCAAGGACCACAGCAGGCAAGCUGCAGGACAAAGAUGACCCUCUGGGCUCCUUACAUCCAGGACAUGUCCCAUCUUCCAAGCGAUCCGACUACCUGUGGCUGCCAUGGGCAGAGGCGAAGUUCUCGGGAAGCCCUGGGCAGGCUCGAUCAGCUGAGAGACUGAGUCUCCUCCCAACCUCAAUUCCCCAGCCCUUGGAUCAGCUCUAGGGAGACAUUAGAAGAACUGGGGAAACCCCAACAGUCAGGGCAUCAGCAGCUUACAGCCUUGGAGCACGAGAAAGAACAUCUUCCUCCAGCAAGUGACAAAGGAGGACACACCCAGGCCCCAGGAUGCAAUCAGCUACUUCAGAGAGGCUCUUUGGGGGCCCCCCAGCUCUGCACAGACCCCUGGACAUCUCUGUCUCUUCCCAAUGGAUCCAGAUCCCUUCAUCCAGGAAAACCACACCCUGGAUGUUUGUGGCUGCCCUGAAAUUGGAUGUUGUGAGGGUCUGACGCUUCGAAGCAGCACAGAUCGUAUCUGUCGUUUGAUGCACGUUCCUGCAAAGGCCCUUUCCAGACACUCCUCAAUAGUUUCUGCAAAUGCUGCCCGAAGCCCGCUGGUGAGCAGACACCACAUAUCCACCUUCCUCUCAGCCUCACACCCAGUGCCACGCCGCUUCCACCCUCUCCACGUCCCCGCGGCGAGGACCUGCAGAGGACCUGUUUGCCUCGUACACAGCAAGGCCGAUGCUUGUGUGUGGGCGUGCACACACGUCCCCAAGAGGACAGGCGCAGCGUCAUGUGGAGACGGGAACAAGGAUCCCGUCCAGCUGGAGGGCUGAGCUCAUUUGACCUUGGAGUGCCCAGUGUGGAGAGAGAGGUGGGGGAGGAGAAACAGUCGAGAAGUGCUGUCAGAUUGCAGCCUCUUCUGUGCAGCUUUUAGAACAAAGCGUGCGAGAGAAGAAGGAGCUUUUGAUUUGGAAUUUUCUAUGAGGUCAGGGGCCUGUGAGGAAGACACACCCGGGAGAAGCUGGUCUCAGUAGGGGAAGGAAGAAAGCCUCAGGUCCUUGGAUUUGACCUUCCCAGGGCAACUAAGGGUCAGAACAAUUUGCUGAUGCAAAGGAAGUUAUGUGUGCGUGGGUCUGUGUGUGUAAAAAAAAAAGGUGGGGGGAGGGACAGGCAGGGAGGAGAAAGGACAGAGGAAGAGGCGGGAGGCCUCCGUUUGAAAGGGGUCUGCCCGGAAGCCCAGAGCAAGGGACAUGCCUGAGGAAUGGAUAACUUAAGAGAGGGGAACAGGAGUCCGGUCUGAGGAGUGAGCAGGGAGAAGAAGGAAUCCAGCAGACACGUGAGGGAGAGGCAGGAGCAGCCCUGAGCCAGGCCUGCUGUGGGGCUGGGCUGGCCUGGCUGUGAGCACAGCCGGGCUUGGGGGAGGCCGCCCAGCUCAUCUGUUACUUACGAACACAAGCUCAGCCUCAAACCUGAUUAGCAGGAAUUAGGUGGCAUAUGGCUAAUCCUCCCUGCCACAGUUAUUAAUACUUUUCAGACUCUGCAGAGGGAGUCCGGAGGCUUCUCCCUGGCUGGCAUCUGGGUGCAGGCAGGACAAGGCUCGGCACCUGCUGUGGGAGGGGCUCUAGCCCCGAGGAGAACAAGGGGGUGGUGGAGAGGCAGAAGUGGCUGGAAAGCUUUCUUUGAGGCCUUGAAGAGACUCCUAAUCCUUCACAAGUGUCUGCCACAGGCUUUUCUUUCUUCCAAAAUACCCCUGGAUCUCUCAUUCCAUUUAGAAAACUGGUGAGAGAGGGGAAUAUACGAUAUCCGAAAGAAGUGAAAGGGUUUAACCAAGGA